GAAAAGUGCUCGUGUCUUGACAAUGUAUCUCCGAAAGUCAUUGAGAGCAGAUUUUGUAAACUGGAGGAAAUCAGUCGGCCUACGUGUGACAUCAGAAGAGACAAAAAAAAAAACUGCAGAUGGUGAAAUCCAAGGCAGACAAGCAGGAAGUUUGGAAAACAAGGGAAGUCCGGCAGCAUCAGGAGGUGAAGAUAUCAAAGUUUCGGGUGUGACCUUCCUUCGGUCCUGGAGAUGGGUAGGAUGAGGUGCCGUUUCCCACAACCUGCAGUCAGAUACGCUGUGGCAAAGAAGGAGGCGAAGGAUGGACAUGCUGGAAAACGAAUUACAACAGUCAACGACUAGGAGGUCAGGCCGGCUCCUGCAGGCCAGGCUGAGAGGCUUAGUGAAACGUGGCCUCAGUUUACUCUUGCUCUUGCUGAUGACGAGUAGGCCUCAUCCGAACCACUGGAUACAGUAAACGAGUUUGGAGAGGAGAAGGUGAACAUCAGUUCUUCCUGGAAAGACAGUUUGGGACCCGGGAUGGAGAUGCAGUAUCGGCUGAAGUAUUGCGUGAAUGCAGUGGACUACUUGCCUGUUGUUGGCAGGGAAAGGGUGUCGUUCGUC